rnacentral:rRNA from 1 species
GACGAACGCUGGCGGCGUGCCUAAUACAUGCAAGUUGAGCGAUGAAGAUUGGUGCUUGCACCAAUUUGAAGAGCAGCGAACGGGUGAGUAACGCGUGGGGAAUCUGCCUUUGAGCGGGGGACAACAUUUGGAAACGAAUGCUAAUACCGCAUAACAACUUUAAACAUAAGUUUUAAGUUUGAAAGAUGCAAUUGCAUCACUCAAAGAUGAUCCCGCGUUGUAUUAGCUAGUUGGUGAGGUAAAGGCUCACCAAGGCGAUGAUACAUAGCCGACCUGAGAGGGUGAUCGGCCACAUUGGGAGGGAGACACGGCCCAAACGCCUACGGGAGGCAGCAGUAGGGAAUCGUCGGCAAUGGACGAAAGUCUGACCGAGCAACGCCGCGUGAGUGAAGAAGGUUUUCGGAUCGUAAAACUCUGUUGGUAGAGAAGAAAGUGGGUGAGAGUGGAAAGCUCAUCAAGUGACGGUAACUACCCAGAAAGGGACGGCUAACUACGUG